AUUCUCUUCUCUAUCAAAUCAAUUGCUUAAAUCGCGUUGAUCUGGCUUAAACUAAGGAAGCCAGUACGAUGAGCAGCAGCAGCAACAUUGAGAUAUGAAAGAAGAAGAAAAAUACACAAGAAAAUGAGAGAGAAUAAUCAAUGAGAAGAACUGUGGG
rnacentral:sRNA from 1 species